AACGUAGGUGGCGAGCGUUAUCCGGAUUUACUGGGCGUAAAGCGUGUGUAGGCGGGGAGACAAGUGGUGUAUGAAAUUUCCCGGCUUAACCGGGAAGGGUUAUGCCAGACUGUCUUUCUGGAGUGCGAGAGAGGGGCGUGGAAUUCCGGGUGUAGUGGUGAAAUGCGUAGAGAUCCGGAGGAACCCCAGAGGCGAAGGCGGCGCCCUGGCUCGCAACUGACGCUCAGACACGACAGCAUGGGGAGCGAACGGG
rnacentral:rRNA from 1 species